CCCCGGCGCCGUGGCGAUUUGUCAGCCGGAUUGCGGGCCACGUUAAACAUUCCGCUAAAGAGGUGAGGAGGACGACUGC
rnacentral:ncRNA from 2 species